rnacentral:rRNA from 1 species
GGGUUGUGAGGUUAAGCGACUAAGCGUACACGGUGGAUGCCCUGGCAGUCAGAGGCGAUGAAGGACGUGCUAAUCUGCGAUAAGCGUCGGUAAGGUGAUAUGAACCGUUAUAACCGGCGAUUUCCGAAUGGGGAAACCCAGUGUGUUUCGACACACUAUCAUUAACUGAAUCCAUAGGUUAAUGAGGCGAACCGGGGGAACUGAAACAUCUAAGUACCCCGAGGAAAAGAAAUCAACCGAGAUUCCCCCAGUAGCGGCGAGCGAACGGGGAGGAGCCCAGAGCCUGAAUCAGUGUGUGUGUUAGUGGAAGCGUCUGGAAAGGCGCGCGAUACAGGGUGACAGCCCCGUACACAAAAAUGCACAUACUGUGAGCUCGAUGAGUAGGGCGGGACACGUGGUAUCCUGUCUGAAUAUGGGGGGACCAUCCUCCAAGGCUAAAUACUCCUGACUGACCGAUAGUGAACCAGUACCGUGAGGGAAAGGCGAAAAGAAC